GUAGGGAGCAAACGUUGUCCGGAUUUAUUGGGCGUAAAGGGCUCGUAGGCGGUUCAACAAGUCGGUCGUGAAAACCCGGGGCUCAACCCCGGGACGCCGGUCGAAACUGUUGUGACUAGAGUUCGGUAGAGGUGAGUGGAAUUCUCGGUGUAGCGGUGGAAUGCGCAGAUAUCGAGAGGAACACCAUUAGCGAAGGCGGCUCACUGGGCCGAUACUGACGCUGAGGAGCGAGAGCGUGGGGAGCAAACAGGAUUAGAUACCCUGGUAGUCCACGCCGUAAACGAUGAACACUAGGUGUGGCGGACUGAUUCAUGUCGGCUGCGCCGUAGCUAACGCAUUAAGUGUUCCGCCUGGGGAGUACGGCCGCAAGGCUA
rnacentral:rRNA from 1 species